AAAAACAGAGAAUGUAGCUUUCAGGAUUCACAGCAGAAAUACUGUAAAUGUGAGUGUGUUCCAUUUGCAUGUGUUUAAGCAAUGUUGAAGGAAGACGUCACAGACAGAUGAAGCUCAGCUAAAUCUCUUUAUGCCACUCAAGUUGUUUUAAACCAGUAACGAACACCUGAGACCUCGUUGCUUGUCUGGCAGUUGGACAAGGAUAAUCUAGGUA
rnacentral:lncRNA from 1 species